CCAAAUCAAACUUCAGUUUCAAAAUUGUCUUUCCUGAUGCCUGGCUUUUUGGAUGGUUCGGAAAGCCCUUGGAACAUGCAGAAAAGAGUAAUAUUUGGCUUAUGAUAAGGAGUCCAUGCAACCACCCCCGACACAAGACACAUUUUUAUCCUAAACUCAAUUUCAAACUUCCAGUCAAAGCCCUAGGAAGAAAAACUGAAUUUAAGGGAUCCAGAGGAAGAUGAUAACAGAGGUUAAAAGGCAUGGCACAGAACAGUCAAUGAAAAAUCAUAUAUUUAGUACCUUCCUCUCAUCAGGACCCACCCCAAAACUGAAUCUCAGAUAAAAUCAGCCAGCUAAUUAUCUUUAAGGUCCAUGGAAGACAAGAUGCUUUCACUAGAACAGCUAUAAGGAAGAUGUAGAAAAAACUGCAGUAUCUGAAUGUAACAUAUUCAUGUCAAGAAAAUGAAGAAAUCAGCCAGGAAGUCAGCUGUGACAAAUCACAAGAUCUGGAGUAUAAAUAGGCAUUUAAUUGUAGAAAUCAAAUGUGUUCAUAUAGAAAGUUGCUAGAAUGGUCAAAAUUCACCCAGUAUGCCUUGAGGUAAUCAAGAAACAAGUCACUGUGACCAAGCUUGUCCUUAUGAUUUAUUAAGAUAUCUGUAGCAUAGUAAGGUUUAUUUAAGUAACUUUAAACCAUGAGUGGUGUAUUGAAGUGGAGUCUGUCUCCUCAUCUGUUUUUCCAGCACUGGAGAAUCAGGGAAGAAUAGUUGGUAUCAUUAUGGUUUUAUACUUUUUACAGACCUGCACUUUUAAAGCUUUUAUAUAACUGACCGUUUCUACUCAUUCAGAAGAGAUUAUUUGGUGGCUACAUGCACUGGUGCCCAAAUUCAUGUCUGAAAUGAUUAAGAGAGGAAGGGUGAUACUGAUGGCUUUAUUUUCCUGUCAUUUCA
rnacentral:lncRNA from 1 species